rnacentral:sRNA from 1 species
UUUUUAUUUAAAUACAUUUAUUUGAACCGGCCUGGGGGAGGCUUGAUGUUGAUGGGUUGGUGAUUAAAGCCUCCCAAAGCCAAUCCUUGGCAUGGCCUUUGGGACUCAAAACACAGUAUCUGACUUGUGGGGCACAAUACCAUCUUGAACGCCCAAAAAAAGGUUUGGUUUUGUUGCCAAAGGGCAGUCACUUCCCAUGAGGGCCUGGCCCACCCGCUGCAGUUGCCCUAAGGAAAAAUAAAGCUGCCUUUCCCCGUCCUGCUGUGGCCAAAGUGUCCUUGCUCCAGGUUCCUGCCCUGGGCUUGGGCAUUUGUCUCGGCUGCUCACAAGACCU